rnacentral:RNase_P_RNA from 1 species
AGAGCGGGGCAAGGGGCCGCGCUUGCCCGCGCUACGCUGGCGGGUGAGGAAAGUCCGGGCUCCACAGGGCAGGGCGCUGGGUAACACCCAGGCGGCGCAAGCCGACGGAAAGUGGCACAGAAACUACACCGCCAACGGCCCUUGAAAGAGGGUGCGGGCAAGGGUGAAAAGGUGGGGUAAGAGCCCACCGCACAGGAUGGUAACAUCCUGUGGCACGGCAACCCCCGUCCGGAGCAAGGCCAAACAGAGCCUAA